rnacentral:rRNA from 1 species
UACGGAGGGCGCAAGCGUUGUUCGGAAUCACUGGGCGUAAAGCGCGUGUAGGCGGCCGGGCAAGUCGGAUGUGAAAUCCCGAGGCUCAACCUCGGAACUGCAUUCGAAACUGCUCGGCUCGAGUCCCGGAGAGGAUGGCGGAAUUCCCGGUGUAGGGGUGAAAUCCGUAGAUAUCAGGAGGAACACCAAUUGCGAAGGCAGCUCGCUGGGACGUUACUGACGCUGAGACGCGAAAGCGUGGGGAGCAAACAGG